rnacentral:rRNA from 2 species
ACCUGCCCACUGAUUAAUUAAAUGGCCGCAGUAAUUUGACUGUGCAAAGGUAGCAUAAUCAUUAGUUUUUUAAUUGAAAGCUUGUAUGAAUGGUUGGACGAGAUAAAAUCUGUCUCUAUUUAAAUUAUUUUAGAAUUUUAUUUUUAAGUUAAAAAGCUUAAAUUUAUGUAAAAGACGAGAAGACCCUAUAGAUCUUUAUAUUUUUUUAUAUAAUUUUAUUAAAGAAUUUUAUAGUUUUUAUAUAUAUAAGUAUUUUAUUGGGGUAAUAAAAAGAUUUAUUAAAUUCUUUUUUUUUUAAAAUAUAGAUUAAUAGUUAUUUGAUCCAAUAUAUUUUUGAUUAUAAGAAUAAGUUACCUUAGGGAUAACAGCGUAAUUUUUUUUGAGAGUUCAUAUCGAUAAAAAAGUUUGCGACCUCGAUGUUGGAUUAAAAAUUAUUUUAGGUGUAGAAGUCUAAAAAUUUGGUCUGUUCGACCAUUAAAUUUU